GCCGGGAUGGCGGAACUGGCAGACGCAGCGGACUCAAAAUCCGCCGGGCUUCGGCCCUUGGGGGUUCGACUCCCCCUCCCGGCACCA
rnacentral:tRNA from 2 species